GACGAACGCUGGCGGCGUGCCUAAUACAUGCAAGUCGAGCGGGCCUCCGGAGGUGCUUGCACCUCCGGAAGGCCAGCGGCGGACGGGUGAGUAACACGUGGGCAACCUGCCUUUGAGGCCGGGAUAACACCGGGAAACCGGUGCUAAUACCGGAUACGUCCUCUUUCGCGCCUGCGAGAGGGGAGAAAGACGGUCUUUAAGGCCGUCGCUCAAAGAGGGGCCCGCGGCGCAUUAGCUGGUUGGUGGGGGAAGGGCCUACCAAGGCGACGAUGGGUUGCCGACCUGAGAGGGUGCUCGGCCACACUGGGACUGAGACACGGCCCAGACUCCUGCGGGAGGCAGCAGUAGGGAAUCAUCCGCAAUGGGCGAAAGCCUGACGGUGCAACGCCGCGUGAGUGAGGAAGGUUUUCGGACCGUAAAGCUCUGUUGUGAGGGAAGAACAGCUUCCGGAGGAAAUGCCGGAGGUUUGCCGGUACCUCACCAGAAAGCCCCGGCUAACUACGUGCCAGCAGCCGCGGUAACAC
rnacentral:rRNA from 1 species